UUUAUCUGUCGUUCUCUUUUGUUUUCCAAAAAAAAAAAAAACACAAAAUACCCUCUCCCCAACUUGUUUCUCCGACGAAUCAGAUUCCUUCAUUGCCCGCUGUACCACCACCGUACUCGGUGGCCGACGGUGCGCGAAGAUAGGCUUUUCAACCCCGGUGUCAGACGCGUGGAAGGCCGGUGGUUGGUGUCCCGAGAGGUGGUGGCGCGUGUGAGGAGGCUGGUGGCUUAAGAGCGGCGGCUGAAAUGAUGGGGGCUAGGGUUGCUGAAAUGUUUUGGGUAGUUGGGCUAGGGUUUGAUGUAAUGGGUCAUUUGGUUUUGGGUUUGGUUUAAUGAAUUGGGCCUGAUAUUUGUAAAAAUGGACUUUAUUUUGGAUUCUUUAUUUUUAUUUGAGUUUUAUUUUUUUAGGCCAAAA